AUAUAUAAUUUGAUUUUUAUAAUUCAAUUCAGUUCGGUUCGAUUCGAUUUAAACCGAAUGCUCACCCCUAUAAUCAACAAUAAGUAAGCUUACGGUUAGAGGGAGCUCAACAAUGUAAAUAUCAAAAUGAUACACACUAUUCAAGGCUUCGAUGAUGCAAUGUUCAAUGCUUUAAUUAUGGGUGGAAAAGGACAUUACGCAUGGGAUUGUUGGCUCAAUAAGAAGUUGUAACACCCCUAAUUUUUAAAU
rnacentral:misc_RNA from 1 species